ensembl:lncRNA
CUCAGCUCUCGUCUGGACCACACGCAUCGCCUCAGCACUACUUUCCAGGCACCUGUCCAGAAGAGAAGAAAUACAUACCCCAGGGGGCUUUGCGGUCAGAGGGAAGAUAUUACCCCUGAAUAUUUGUGUGCUCAUUUGAAGAAGGAAAGAGAGGGAGAGAGAGAGGGAGAUACCCAUGCUGCAGCCCAUGGAUGAGGCCAAAAUAGGGUUGGUGAGCAUGACAUGAAUGAGACUGAAAUCUGACAAUAGGAGCCUGUAGAGAAGGAUGCUGUGGGGAUCUGCACCCCGUGGUGAACACAUGCUGGAGUAGUCCACUCCUGAAGGAUGCACUGUGUGGUAGAGACCCAUGUUGCACUCUGUGGGAAACUCAAAGAGGAGCAGUUCAGGAAGGAUGGCACCCCACGACAG